CAGCUAGUGUACCCAUGAUGGUACAACAGAAAAAUAUCAGUCUAUGGGUUCGAUUCCCACCGUGGUCAAGCUAACGUUUCAGCUUGCCCGUGUGGAUGCACACUCAAAGUAGCAUCACAAACAAAAUAAUAACAAUCUACCCAUUGUGGUGGAGCCCAUUGAGGUACUAAAUAUCAUUCGACAACCCAUUGUGGUAACUAGAGCCUAGAG